rnacentral:rRNA from 1 species
UACGGGGGGGGCAAGCGUUGUUCGGAAUUACUGGGCGUAAAGGGUUCGUAGGUGGCUUGCUAAGUCAGACGUGAAAUCCCUCAGCUUAACUGGGGAACUGCGUCUGAUACUGGCGAGCUUGAGUGCAGGAGAGGAACGCGGAAUUCCAGGUGUAGCGGUGAAAUGCGUAGAUAUCGGAAGGAACACCAGUGGCGAAAGCGGCUUCCUGGUCCAGCACCGACGUCAGGCACGAAAGCGUGGGGAGCAAACAGG